UCCCUGAUAGCUCAGUUGGUAAAGAAUCUGCCUGCAAUGCAGGAGACCCUGGUUUGAUUCCUGGGUCUGGAA
rnacentral:tRNA from 1 species